rnacentral:rRNA from 1 species
CAGUCGCCGCGGGAAUACGAAGGGGGCUAGCGUUGCUCGGAAUGACUGGGCGUAAAGGGCGUGUAGGCGGCGAUCAAAGUCAGGCGUGAAAUUCCUGGGCUCAACCUGGGGGCUGCGCUUGAUACUUGGUUGCUUGAGUGGGGAAGAGGGUCGUGGAAUUCCCAGUGUAGAGGUGAAAUUCGUAGAUAUUGGGAAGAACACCGGUGGCGAAGGCGGCGACCUGGUCCUUGACUGACGCUGAGGCGCGAAAGCGUGGGGAGCAAACAGGAUUAGAUACCCGCGUAGUCCCUGUCUCUUAUAC